rnacentral:rRNA from 1 species
UACGAAGGGGGCUAGCGUUAAUCGGAAUUACUGGGCGUAAAGCGUGCGCAGGCGGUGAUGUAAGACAGUUGUGAAAUCCCCGGGCUUAACCUGGGAACUGCAUUGGUGACUGCAGGGCUAGAGUGUGUCAGAGGGAGGUGGAAUUCCGCGUGUAGCAGUGAAAUGCGUAGAGAUGCGGAGGAACACCGAUGGCGAAGGCAGCCUCCUGGGAUAACACUGACGCUCAGGCACGAAAGCGUGGGGAGCAAACAGG